rnacentral:rRNA from 1 species
AGCGAACGCUGGCGGCAGGCCUAACACAUGCAAGUCGAACGAACCCUUCGGGGUUAGUGGCGGACGGGUGAGUAACACGUGGGAACGUGCCUUUAGGUUCGGAAUAACUCAGGGAAACUUGUGCUAAUACAGAAUGUGCCCUUCGGGGGAAAGAUUUAUCGCCUUUAGAGCGGCCCGCGUCUGAUUCGCUGGUUGGUGGGGUAAUGGCUCACCAAGGCUACGAUCAGUCGCUGGUCUGAGAGGAUGACAAGCCACAUUGGGACUGAGACACGGACCAGACUCCUACGGGAGGCAGCAGUGGGGAAUCUUGCGCAAUGGGCGAAAGCCUGACGCAGCCAUGCCGCGUGGAUGAUGAAGGUCUUAGGAUUGUAAAAUCCUUUCACCGGUGAAGAUAAUGACUGUAGCCGGAGAAGAAGCCCCGGCUAACUUCGUGCCAGCCGCCGCUGUAAUAC